rnacentral:rRNA from 1 species
GACGAACGCUGGCGGCGUGCUUAACACAUGCAAGUCGAACGGAAAGGCCCUGCUUUUGUGGGGUGCUCGAGUGGCGAACGGGUGAGUAACACGUGAGUAACCUGCCCUUGACUUUGGGAUAACUUCAGGAAACUGGGGCUAAUACCGGAUAGGAGCUCCUGCUGCAUGGUGGGGGUUGGAAAGUUUCGGCGGUUGGGGAUGGACUCGCGGCUUAUCAGCUUGUUGGUGGGGUAGUGGCUUACCAAGGCUUUGACGGGUAGCCGGCCUGAGAGGGUGACCGGCCACAUUGGGACUGAGAUACGGCCCAGACUCCUACGGGAGGCAGCAGUGGGGAAUAUUGCACAAUGGGCGGAAGCCUGAUGCAGCAACGCCGCGUGCGGGAUGACGGCCUUCGGGUUGUAAACCGCUUUCGCCUGUGACGAAGCGUGAGUGACGGUAAUAGGUAAAGAAGCACCGGCUAACUACG